rnacentral:rRNA from 1 species
UACGUAGGGGGCAAGCGUUAUCCGGAAUCACUGGGCGUAAAGGGUGCGUAGGUGGUCCAUCAAGUCAGAAGUGAAAGGCAGUGGCUUAACCACUGUAAGCUUUUGAAACUGACGGACUUGAGUGCAGGAGAGGUAAGUGGAAUUCCUAGUGUAGCGGUGAAAUGCGUAGAUAUUAGGAGGAACACCAGUGGCGAAGGCGACUUACUGGACUGUAACUGACACUGAGGCACGAAAGCGUGGGGAGCGAACAGG